rnacentral:misc_RNA from 1 species
UCCGAGUUGACCCCGGCAGUCUCCUGCGAGUCCCCGCCAUUACGCGCUGGCAACACAGGACAAGGGUUGCGCUCGUUGCGGGACUUAACCCAACAUCUCACGACACGAGCUGACGACAGCCAUGCACCACCUGUAUACCGACCACAAGGGGGGCCGUAUCUCUACGGCUUUCCGUGUAUGUCAAACCCAGGUAAGGUGGGGAUGACGUAAGGAUAG